rnacentral:rRNA from 1 species
GUGGGGAAUAUUGCGCAAUGGGGGAAACCCUGACGCAGCGACGCCGUGUGAGGGAAGAAGGCUUUCGGGUCGUAAACCUCUGUCAGAAAGGAAGAACCUCCCAAGUCCGAAUAGGGCUUGGGACUGACGGUACUUUCAAAGGAAGCACCGGCUAACUCCGUGCCAGCAGCCGCGGUAAUACGGAGGGUGCAAGCGUUAAUCGGAAUCACUGGUCGUAAAGCGACCGUAGGCCGCUUUGUAAGUCGUACGUGAAAGCCCUCGGCUCAACCGGGGAACUGCGUUGGUGACUGCGAGGCUUGCGUCCUGGAGAGGGUGGCGGAAAUCCGGGUGUAGGAGUGAAAUCCGUAGAUAUCCGGGGGAACACCGGUGGCGAAGGCGGCCACCUGGAGAGGUACUGACGCUGAGGCGCGAAAGCGUGGGGAGCAAACAGGAUUAGAUACCCGAGUAGUCC